rnacentral:misc_RNA from 1 species
CUCUGAUUCCAGCAGCCGCGGUAAUACGGAGGGUGCGAGCGUCGUUCGGAAUCACUGGGCGUAAAGGGCGCGUAGGCGGCCUGGCAAGUGACGGGUGAAAUCCCUCGGCUUAACCGAGGAACUGCCUGUCAGACUGCUGGGCUUGAGACCGGGAGAGGUGAGUGGAAUUCCCAGUGUAGCGGUGAAAUGCGUAGAUAUUGGGAGGAACACCAGUG